CACGGUGAACUGAGUUUAUCUUCAUUAGAUAAAUCUAUCUUCAAAGAUAGGCUUUAUCUUCAUUACAGGAUAAUAUAAUGUGUAAGGCAGGGGAAUGAACAGCCAUGUACAUGCAAAGCUCUUCCUUGGCGUGCUCUGAAGUCACAGAAUCGGUUUCCAUUCAUCAGUCUGGAAACAAAGAUCAUUGCACAGAGUAGCCUAACAUUGUCUAGCAGAACUGUUUUGGAAACCUCUGAAGAGAAGAAGAAGG